UACGUAGGGAGCAAGCGUUGUCCGGAAUCAUUGGGCGUAAAGCGCGCGUAGGUGGCCCCAUAAGUCCGCUGUGAAAGUCAAAGGCUCAACCUUUGAAAGCCGGUGGAUACUGUGGGACUAGAGUACGGAAGAGGCGAGUGGAAUUCCUGGUGUAGCGGUGGAAUGCGCAGAUAUCAGGAGGAACACCGGUGGUGUAAACGGCUUUCUGGACCAUAACUGACACUGAGGCACGAAAGCGUGGGUAGCAAACAGG
rnacentral:rRNA from 1 species